GAAGAAGAAGAAGAAGAAGAAGUCCCUUACUUGUUGCAUGCUUCUCUAUCUCAAAGAUCUGCUCUCUAGAUUUGUAUUUUUUUUCCCCUCUUCUCUUUCUUCUCGCCUCAUCUCUCUUCAGCCUUGUUUAAGCAUUUUCUUUUCCUCUUCUUUUCCAUCAUGCCUCAUCUCUCUCUAGCCUUGUUUGUGCUUCUUUUUCUCUCUUCUUCCUUCAUGCUUCAUGUCCCGUAAGCCCUGUUCAUGCUUUUCUUUCCUUUAUCCUACUCUGCUCCUCUCUUUAUAGCCUUGGGUCCUUAAAAUUGUCAGCGGCUUGGUGCUAGAAUUUUUUUUUCUACUUUUCUUGCUGCUUUCUCUCUCCAGCUGUGGGUUUUUUUCUUUUUCCAGCCCAUUGUGAUGAAUUUAUGCUAUUAUAUUUACCAUUUUGAGCCUUAUGUAUUUGCUUAUUGUGCUAAAUUCAAUGGGUGAAUGGUUCAUAUUUGAGACUGAGUGUUUGAACAAUAAAUUAGAAGGAAAGAAAAAUUAAUCAUUAAUUAUGUAAAAUAUUUAUUAAUUUUUUGUCGGUAUAAUUUUGUAAGUUUCUGUUUAGAUAAUUUUCAAUAUAAUUUUUUAAGCAGUUCAUUUUCAUCAAAUGAACAUGUAAUAAUUUCAUAUACCUUUAAUAGUAGGAUCUAAAGUUGAUAGAAUGUCCACUACUAGGUAUUGUCUCUUUGUUGGAGGACAUAUGGUAUCAUGGAGAAGUAAGAAGCAAUAUGUGGUCUCUUGGUCCAUUGUAGAAUUAGAGUACAAAGCUAUGGCACAAUCUGUGUGUGAGAUAUGUGGGUAUAUCAACUAUUGAAAGAAGUUGGUCUCAAGUUCUCAUUGCUAGCUAAGUUAUGGUGUGAUAACCAGGCUGUACUUCAUGUUACUUUUAAUCCGGUAUUUCACAAACGAAUCAAACACAUUGAGAUUAACUAUCACUUCGUUUUCAGAAGAUACAAGAAAAGCUUAUUUCCACAAGCUAUGUUAAGAGAUGAGAUCAGUUGGGAGAUAUCUUUGCAACAGCUCUGAAUGGAGCUUGAGUCAACUACAUUUGUAACAAGUUGGGCA
rnacentral:misc_RNA from 1 species